rnacentral:rRNA from 1 species
GGUCUGAUUCUGGCUCAGAUUGAACGCUGGCGGGAUGCUUUACACAUGCAAGUCGAACGGCAGCACGGACUUCGGUCUGGUGGCGAGUGGCGAACGGGUGAGUAAUGUAUCGGAACGUGCCUAGUAGCGGGGGAUAACUACGCGAAAGCGUAGCUAAUACCGCAUACGCCCUUCGGGGAAAGCGGGGGACCUUCGGGCCUCGCACUAUUAGAGCGGCCGAUAUCGGAUUAGCUAGUUGGUGGGGUAACGGCUCACCAAGGUGCGACGAUCCGUAGCUGGUUUGAGAGGACGACCAGCCACACUGGGACUGAGACACGGGCCCAGACUCCUACGGGAGGCAGCAGUGGGGAAUUUUGACAAUGGGGGAAACCCUGAUCCAGCCAUCCCGCGUGUGCGAUGAAGGCCUUCGGGUUGUAAAGCACUUUUGGCAGGAAAGAAACGGCACGGAUACCCGUGCAACUGACGGUACCUGCAGAAUAAGCACCGGCUAACUACGUGCCAGCAGCCGCGGUAAUACGUAGGGUGCAAGCGUUAAUCGAAUUACUGGGCGUAAAGUGUGCGCAGGCGGUUCGGAAAGAAAGAUGUGAAAUCCCAGAGCUUAACUUUGGAACUGCAUUUUUAACUACCGAGCUAGAGUGUGUCAGAGGGAGGUGGAAUUCCGCGUGUAGCAGUGAAAUGCGUAGAUAUGCGGAGGAACACCGAUGGCGAAGGCAGCCUCCUGGGAUAACACCACGCUCAUGCACGAAAGCGUGGGGAGCAAACAGGAUUAGAUACCCUGGUAGUCCACGCCCUAAACGAUGUCAACUAGCUGUUGGGGCCUUCGGGCCUUGGUAGCGCAGCUAACGCGUGAAGUUGACCGCCUGGGGAGUACGGUCGGCAGAUUAAAACUCAAAGGAAUUGACGGGGACCCCGCACAAGCGGUGGAUGAUGUGGAUUAAUUCGAUGCAACGCGAAAAACCUUACCUACCCUUGACAUGUCUGAAUCCCGAAGAGAUUUGGGAGUGCUCGCAAGAGAACCGGAACACAGGUGCUGCAUGGCUGUCGUCAGCUCGUGUCGUGAGAUGUUGGGUUAAGUCCUGCAACGAGCGCAACCCUUGUCAUUAGUUGCUACUGAAAAGGGCACUCUAAUGAGACUGCCGGUGACAAACCGGAGGAAGGUGGGGAUGACGUCAAGUCCUCAUGGCCCUUAUGGGUAGGGCUUCACACGUCAUACAAUGGUCGGGACAGAGGGUCGCCAACCCGCGAGGGGGAGCCAAUCCCAGAAACCCGAUCGUAGUCCGGAUCGCAGUCUGCAACUCGACUGCGUGAAGUCGGAAUCGCUAGUAAUCGCGGAUCAGCAUGUCGCGGUGAAUACGUUCCCGGGUCUUGUACACACCGCUCGUCACACCAUGGGAGUGGGUUUUACCAGAAGUAGUUAGCCUAACCGUAAGGAGGGCGAUUACCACGGUAGGAUUCAUGACUGGGGUAGUCGUAACAAGGUAG